rnacentral:rRNA from 1 species
UACGUAGGGGGCUAGCGUUGUCCGGAAUCAUUGGGCGUAAAGAGCGUGUAGGCGGUCCGGUAAGUCCGCUGUGAAAGUCGGGGGCUCAACCCUCGAAUGCCGGUGGAUACUGUCGGGCUAGAGUGCGGAAGAGGCGAGUGGAAUUCCUGGUGUAGCGGUGAAAUGCGCAGAUAUCAGGAGGAACACCUAUUGCGAAGGCAGCUCGCUGGGACGUAACUGACGCUGAGACGCGAAAGCGUGGGAGGCAAACAGG